CGCUAGCUGUCAGUGAUUAAUGGCGGCGUAGGAAUCUGUCAGACCGUCACCUUGACCUGUUAUUUCCGCCAUUUCUGCCCCAUCCCUUUAAUUGUGAUCCUUAAUUCGUGGCCCAGAGAGAGAAGAUGGAACCAUGGACCAGUCAGCACUGCCGCUGCCCAUGUGGAAGGGUAACUCAAGCAGCCCCGAGUUGUCCCCGUGACCCCAACCUGACCUGCAAGGCACACCCACCCCAGGACAGGAGGACUCGGCAGAAUGUGACCAGCUGAUCUGCCUAUAUGCUGCCGCUGCUACACUGGCCCAACAACAGCAGCAGUAACAGGCUUUCUUCGUUAAUUUAGGUAACUCAAGCAGCCCCGAGUUGUCCCCGUGACCCCAACCUGACCUGCAAGGCACACCCACCCCAGGACAGGAGGACUCGGCAGAAUGUGACCAGCUGAUCUGCCUAUAUGCUGCCGCUGCUACACUGGCCCAACAACAGCAGCAGUAACAAGCUUUCUUCGUUAAUUUAGUUGCAAUACUUUUUUGCAGAGGUUUGCCAGCGUACUUCCUACUUGCAAUCAAGGCUGGUGGUGCCUCGCUGCAUCACAGGGCGUGGUGUCAGGACGAGCUAAAUGGAGGAGGGUGUAUACAGCUAGUGUUGGUUGUCUUCCCUGCCUGGUGCUGCUGCUGCUAUCCUGUCUACUACAAUCAAGGCUGGUGGCAGGUGGGGUUGCCUUGUUGCAGGGUCUGACUUCAGGAAGAAUGAAAUGGAGGAUGUGUCUACGGCCAGUGUAGUAAAUAUAAAUAAAGUUGUCAGU